UACGUAGGGGGGCAAGCGUUGUCCGGAAUCAUUGGGCGUAAAAGCGCGUGUAGGCGGCCUCAUAAGUCCGUUCUGAAAAGUCCGGGGGCUCAAACCCCCGGGGAGGCGGAUGGGAUACUGCAAGGCUCGAGUCCGGAAAGAGGCAAAGUGGGAAAUUUCCCCGGUGUAGCGGGUGAAAAAUGCGCAGAUAUCGGGGAGGGAAACACCAAAUGGCGAAAGGCAGCUU
rnacentral:rRNA from 1 species